rnacentral:snRNA from 1 species
GUGCUCGCUUGGGCUUCACAUUGCAAGAAUAAGAUCGAUACAGACAAGAUGAGCAUGGCCCUGCGCAAGGAUGACACACGAAUUGGUGAAGCGUUCCUGAUUUUA